rnacentral:rRNA from 1 species
GAGAGGAGGGAGCCCAUCGUCAAAGCCAAUCCCCACACCCUCGUCGCCGGCGAAGACCCUAGCGAGCCAUGGAGAAUCGGUCUUACCACGGCGGCAUCGGCAGCGGCAGCAAGAACCCGCCGCCCUCUGGGAAGGAGGGCGAGUACGGGGGAGGGUACGACCGGCUGGACGAGGAGGUGGAGUUCCGGCUGCCGAGGGGCCACCGGCCGGUGGAGAACCUGGACACGGAGGGGCUGGAGCAGGCCUCCGUCGACACGCGGCUCGCCGCCUCCAACGUCGGCUUCAGGCUGCUGCAGAAGAUGGGAUGGAAGUCCGGCAAGGGCCUCGGCAAGAACGAGCAAGGUAUACUAGAGCCAAUAAAAGCUGGUAUCAGGGAUGCAAAAUUAGGAGUGGGGAAGCAAGAGCAGGAUGACUUCUUCACAGCUGAGGACAAUGUACAAAGAAAGAGAUUAAAUGUUGAACUUGAGGAGACUGAAGAGCAUAUUAAGAAGCGUGAGGUGCGCAAUCACACACUGAGUGCUAAUUUCUGUAUUUUCUUUUGAGAUUCUUCCGGGUUGAUGCUUCAGCUGUGAGAACCGCUAUCUGAUUGUCGGCGCUGCAUAGCACCUAUGCUGGUGUGCCAUUUGGAUAUGGAGUUGUAGCAUCAACCCUCAUGAAUUUUUUAGCAUCCUGUGCACUUUUUAUUUGGUGGCUUCUUUUCCCUGCUUGGUGCGAAUCAUGACAAUCCAGGUCACAGCAGAACGUGAGCAGAAAAUCCGCAGUGAGGUUAAGGAGAUACAGAAGACAUUCUUUUGCAACCUAUGUAAUAAGCAGUACAAGCUGGCAUAUGAAUUUGAGAGCCAUCUAAGCUCAUAUGACCAUAAUCAUAGGAAGAGGUUCAAGGAAAUGAAAGAGAUGCAAAGCGGCGGCAGUGGCAACCGUGAUGAUAGGCAGAAACGUGAGCAGCAGCGAGAAGAGAAGGAGCUGGCAAAAUUUGCCCAACUGGCAGAUGCUCAUAGAAAACAGCAGAAAGAGAAACAAGAACAACCAGAGAUCUCAGGAGAGCAAGCUACGCCAAAGAACAUGCCUACCCCGGGCAAUCAGGAUCAGCGUCGAACGUUGAAAUUUGGCUUCUCCAAAAUGACCCCUUCCAAGGCACCUGUUGGCAACAUGAGCAAGAAGCCAAAGAUUGCCACGAAAGUCCCUUCCGUCUUCGGAAACGACAGCGACGAGGAGGCAUGAUCUUCCUUUGCCGUCAGAUGAUACCUCACACAGGAGGGGAAUGCCGGCUUUCUCAGCAGAUUCCAGUGAGUCAUCCCUGAGAAGACGCCAUGCAUGUAAUGUGCCGCUGGUUUGACCAGAUGCGGAUAGCGGCAUCUUUGACAACCCCAUGAACAAACAGGGACUUGGACGUUGUGGUGUCAAUUGUAUUGAACUGAUGGUACACUGUAAGAGCAACUCUGUCUGUACUUCCACAUUGAUCAGAGUCUGGAAACUGGCUUGAGCCAUGGCAAGCUGGCAACUAGAAGAACAUGGCCCCCCUUUUGUUGGGGCACAUUUGUAUCACCCUUGUUGGAUUCUUGCGAGAUUCCUCGGCGGUCGGUGGGUGGUGAAGUGUUUUUUGCUCACUUUUUCACAAAGCAGGUAAAAAAGGAGGGUGAUUGAUCAACUCAAAGUGCAAAUAAAUGGCUUGUUGUUGAUGGAGCCCCUGGGAGAGGCAGUUGGCUUGACCUGUCUCCGGUGCUGUGGUCCAUCAUGGUGAACAUGGUUGCAUUGACAUGUAAACAGUCUCGAGAGAUCAUUCAGAUCACCUACAUGCAUACAUGUGGAUCACCUUUUUACCCC